UACGUAGGUGGCAAGCGUUGUCCGGAUUCACUGGGCGUAAAGCGCGCGCAGGCGGUCUUCUACGUCUGGGGUGAAAACCCGGGGCUCAACCCCGGGACUGCCUUGGAUACGGGGAAGACUUGAGGAUCGGAGAGGCAAGGGGAAUUCCACGUGUAGCGGUGAAAUGCGUAGAGAUGUGGAGGAACACCUGUGGCGAAGGCGCCUUGCUGGCCGAUUUCUGACGCUGAGGCGCGAAAGCGUGGGGGAGCAAACAGG
rnacentral:rRNA from 1 species